rnacentral:rRNA from 1 species
AACGAACGCUGGCGGCAUGCCUAACACAUGCAAGUCGAACGAGACCUUCGGGUCUAGUGGCGCGCGGGUGCGUAACGCGUGGGAAUCUACCCUUGGGUUCGGAAUAACAGUUAGAAAUGACUGCUAAUACCGGAUGAUGACGUAAGUCCAAAGAUUUAUCGCCCAAGGACGAGCCCGCGUAAGAUUAGCUUGUUGGUGGGGUAAUGGCCUACCAAGGCGACGAUCUUUAGCUGGUCUGAGAGGAUGAUCAGCCACACUGGGACUGAGACACGGCCCAGACUCCUACGGGAGGCAGCAGUGGGGAAUAUUGGACAAUGGGCGAAAGCCUGAUCCAGCAAUGCCGCGUGAGUGAUGAAGGCCUUAGGGUUGUAAAGCUCUUUUACCAGGGAUGAUAAUGACAGUACCUGGAGAAUAAGCUCCGGCUAACUCCGUGCCAGCCGCCGCGGUAA